UGGGGAAUAUUGCACAAUGGGGGAAACCCUGAUGCAGCGACGCCGCGUGAGUGAAGAAGUAUUUCGGUAUGUAAAGCUCUAUCAGCAGGGAAGAAAAAAGACGGUACCUGACUAAGAAGCCCCGGCUAACUACGUGCC
rnacentral:rRNA from 1 species